rnacentral:rRNA from 1 species
GUGCCAGCAGCCGCGGUAAUACGAAGGGGGCUAGCGUUGUUCGGAUUUACUGGGCGUAAAGCGCGUGUAGGCGGAUUUGUAAGUUGGGGGUGAAAUCCCGAGGCUCAACCUCGGAACUGCCUCCAAAACUACAAGUCUGGACCUAAGUAGAGGCAAGUGGAAUUGCGAGUGUAGAGGUGAAAUUCGUAGAUAUUCGCAGGAACACCAGUGGCGAAGGCGACUUGCUGGACUUAUGGUGACGCUGAGACGCGAAAGCGUGGGGAGCAAACAGGAUUAGAUACCCCAGUAGUCC